AGUAACUGAGGGAAACCUUAGCUAAUACCCCAUAAGACCACGGGGCCUUCGGGUUCUGCGGGAAAAGGCGGCCUCUGCAUAUGCUGUCACUGGGAGAUGAGUCUGCGUCCCAUCAGCUAGUUGGUGAGGUAAUGGCUCACCAGGCGAAGACGGGUAGCUGGUCUGAGAGGAUGAUCAGCCACACUGGCACUGGAACACGGGCCAGACUCCUACGGGAGGCAGCAGUGGGGAAUAUUGGGCAAUGGGCGCAAGCCUGACCCAGCCACGCCGCGUGAGUGAUGAAGGCCUUCGGGUUGUAAAGCUCUGUGGGAAGAGAAGAAAAACUGCUGGCUAAUAUCCAGCAGGUUGACGGUACCUUCUUAGCAAGCACCGGCUAACUCUGUG
rnacentral:rRNA from 1 species